AGAAAAAGAAAAAAACGAACAGAACAGACCUUACUAUUCAAGUGUCUUUGAAGAUUUCGCUUGUAAAUUGUAACAACUAACACACUCUCACUAAUCUUUUUUCUCUUCUUUCUUGCGUGAUUAAGGUCAAAUACUCAAAUUUGAAAAUGGAUAGUGGUAACCAAGUCGCUAACAUUGCGACGAAAGGAUGGAAACCAGAUGCGUAUCGCAAAAGGAUUGUAAAAGACAUCGCGAAUGAAUUAAUCAAGCAUAGUUGUCCCAGUUUAAAACUUACGAAUAAUGAGGUUCUUCAACGUGUGAAACGAUUUGAGGCGCAGAUCAAUGAUUCUGCUAAUUCCGAGG